UUGCUAUGAUGAGACCAGGAAGUGAUGAAAGUUCAAACUUAUUUGCUUUAUGAAACAUUAUCCUGAGCGGUUAACUGAGCAA